rnacentral:rRNA from 1 species
UAGGGAAUCUUCCACAAUGGACGCAAGUCUGAUGGAGCAACGCCGCGUGAGUGAAGAAGGUUUUCGGAUCGUAAAGCCCUGUUGUUGGUGAAGAAGGAUAGAGGCAGUAACUGGUCUUUAUUUGACGGUAAUCAACCAGAAAGUCACGGCUAACUACGUGCCAGCAGCCGCGGUAAUACGUAGGUGGCAAGCGUUGUCCGGAUUUAUUGGGCGUAAAGCGAGCGCAGGCGGAAUGAUAAGUCUGCUGUGAAAGCCCACGGCUCAACCGUGGAACUGCAUCGGCAACUGUCAUUCUUGAGUGCAGAAGAGGAGAGUGGAAUUCCAUGUGUAGCGGUGGAAUGCGUAGAUAUAUGGAAGAACACCAGUGGCGAAGGCGGCUCUCUGGUCUGCAACUGACGCUGAGGCUCGAAAGCAUGGGUAGCGAACAGG